rnacentral:rRNA from 1 species
UACGUAGGGUGCAAGCGUUAAUCGGAAUUACUGGGCGUAAAGGGUGCGUAGGUGGUUGUUUAAGUCUGUUGUGAAAGCCCCGGGCUCAACCUGGGAAUGGCAAUGGAUACUGGACAGCUAGAGUGCGGUAGAGGGUAGUGGAAUUCCCGGUGUAGCAGUGAAAUGCGUAGAGAUCGGGAGGAACACCAGUGGCGAAGGCGGCUACCUGGACCAGCACUGACACUGAAGCACGAAAGCGUGGGGAGCAAACAGG